rnacentral:lncRNA from 1 species
CCAGGAAGGCCCUGCAGUGUCCUGAUGAAACAAGAAAAAGAAGUGGAGAGAAGAGAGCAAAGGAGGGGAAGCAAAAGGAGAGUGGUCAUCCCUAGUGUGUUGACUUUUGCCCACAUGCUUGUUGCCUCAUGGUUACCAAAUGGUAUUUGCAUCUCCAGGGAGUAUGUGCAAUUGCUGCACAGAAAGAAGAGGAAAGGAAAGGCUUCAUUUUGGAAGGCUUUGUCUUCUUAUGAAAGAUGGGAAACUUGAGAGACAAAUCUCCAUGAAUAUUUCAGGCUGCAACAAAUACAGACAAAGGAAAGACUGCCCUUCACUUCCCCUAGUGCAUGCCCUUUAUUAGAGCCACAGUCAGAGAUCUUCAAAUGCCAGACAGAAGGUUAAGGAGGCUUCUAGUUAAAAUGCAAACUAGUUAUUACCCUGGAGGUAUUCCACAGUGAAGAGACUGAAAUCAAGCCAUGAAGAAGUUAAUCUGAAAAAAUCUUUCCACGGAAGGAUUUAUGACUUGAUCUUUGAGGAAGCAACAGCAUGAGGCUGGAUCUGGUGAUGAAAGCUUAAUGGAAGUUAUUGCCCUUUCCACUCAGAUAAGAAGAUUGAAGAAGAGAAAUUGCCCCAAAUGGCAGAGGCAAGAUAAGAAUCUAAGCAGGUGGCCUCUGAGCCCAACUCCCUGACCACCGCAUUCAGUUAGUUUCUAUAAGUGAGAUGAUGCUUGUCAAAGCACCGCCCAUAGCUGAGAUGCCCAGUGGAUGCUCAAUUCCUUUUCUUUCCAAAGAACUUGAUGAGCCAUACUCUGAGACACCUGGGGGAUUUUGCUAUCCCAGAAAACACAGUAAAGAUUUCUCAAGUUCCCUUUUCCCCUUGAGAGACGUGGCCCCACAGUUCCCCAUAUUUCAACCAGAGACGCGCUUGUCAAAAGAGAGGCACUCAGAUAUCAUCACUGCUGUUCCUCAGAAGCAAAUAGUGGGUAAGCCGUUCUGAAUAAUGAAACACCCUCUCCCUGGAGUCAUUAGCAGAAUGCACUGUUCUUUUUCUCCAGCUUCAUCGGUUCUACAGAACAGAACAUUUGAUGCAAAGUUUCUUCAGCUGCUCACUCUCAUAUUCAAGCCUGAGGCUAUAGCACUUUUGACUGCUACAAUCCAGCUGCUUUUCAGUCUGCUCUCACUAAUAACUCUAUUAUAAUAUUUAUAAUACUGUCUAUUAUACUGAGUGUUUCUUUUCCCCACAGACACUAUCAAAUUACCCUCCAUCUUUAGUUCAUGCCCAUGCCUUAGUUCUUUUCUGAGAGGGGGCAGACCUGUUGCCUGGGAGGACUGCUACUGAGCUCUUUGCCAACAUUACACCCACUGUAGCUAAAAAGGAGACUGUCCCAUCUGCCUUGGUUUGGCUUAAAGCCACUAGUGCUAUCAAUUCCAAGAGCUAUUAGAGGCACAGCUGGGGUCUUACUCAAAACAUCAGCCAGGGUGGGUCUUAGGAAUGCUCAUGGACUAGAGCAUUUGCUUUGCUUUGUCCUGUUUUGGUUGCUGAGUUUAUUCUUGUUAGUGAGGCAGGUGGAUUUCUGAUCACCAUGUUUGCAAGGCAUCAUAUUCUGAGAUUAAGGGAACCUCUUUCACCUAAUAAAAAUACCGGAGAGAUAAAACUGUGUUUUAGAGACAUGUUAGGUGACAUUAACAAAGCAAUGACAGGAAUGAAAUGUGUUCAGGAUGGGUCAAUGUGAGAGCUGGAUCCUUGAGACUUUCUUGUCAAGGUAAUGGCUCUAAGCAUUUUUAUAAUUGAAACGGACAGGUGCUUUGCUAAAGACGCAAUGGCCACGGUGGAGGUCACUUAAGGUUGUGUUACAGUGAAGAUGAAAGGAAGCUGUCAGGGAUUUUUUUGAGCACCCAGAAGGUUGAUGUCCUGUCUACCACCUUGGUAUGGAGAGAGUUUUCCAAGGAAAUAUAGUACCUGGAUAUUCCUCUGUAUGGGAAAGAAGUCAUUGCAUUCAGGGAAGCAACAGCAAAUCAGGUAAAUCAACCAAGGCAGAAUGGCUUUGACACAUCACAAAGGUCCAGGUAUAUGGGCAUCCACUCAACAGCAUUAAUAAUAAAAUUUUAAAAUAACCAUGAAUUUUGAACUACAUUGACAUAUAACAUUUAACUUCAGAUUUCAGAGAAAAAAAUAUUUUCUUUAGAAGUGCGUGUGUGUUUGUGCAUACGCACGCGUGUGUGUUGUGUUUUAUGACCUAUAAAGGAAAUAAGAGUUGCGUAUCAGAAGAAAAUAUGUUAAGUUUUUAAAGAGAAACCACAGUGAAAGUUUGGUCACACAGAGGUGUUAUUUUCUUCCAAUUAAGCCAGAGAAAUAAGCAUGGUACUAUAGCUUUCCAGAUUUUAUAGCUGAGUUUCAGUUGGUUAAUGAGUGAAAACUGAUAAACUGAUUGAUGAAAAUUACUGGAGGGAAAGUGUUGGAACUACAUAAUCAGGUUGAAGAAAAUUAUACCCCAUGGUGAAGGCCAGAAUGAUAGGAAAUAAAUUCUCACAAAAAUGAAGUUCCUUGAGAACUUUUAAGGAGUGUCAUAAUGAACUUGUUCCAUUUAUAUUUUCUUUCACUUUUUUUUUAAAAUGUGAAAAUAAAAAUACAGGCGUCAGCAAGUCUUCAACUGAUCAUCUAUUGAAUUUAAACAAUAGAUGAAAAUGUGAGUGAAAUAAUUCUAAGUGAAAAAAUGGCUUAACUGGAAGUAUUUUUCUUUUUUAGAUGGUGAUGACAUAAUGAUGUAUCUUAUGAUACAUGGUGUUCUAGAUUUUCUGAAAAAUAUAUUUUAUUUUAUUUACCUGUCCAUCCACCUUAGCAUAGAACUUGUCAUAAUUCUUUUGGCAAUAUUAAUCAACAAAAGGGAAAAAAUUAUGAAGAAAAUGAAAGAAAACACUGAUGCAGCAGAAAACAACUACAAAGGCAGUAUUCUAUUACAUUUCACUCUUUAGAAAUGAUUUUUCUUCCCAGCUUGUUGACUCAAUAUGUUAAAAAUUUUACAAUCAAAAUUUUAUCUUUUAUAAUUUAUAGCUGAUAAUGAGUAGCAAUUAAAAAUUAUGUAGAGUAUAUUUCGUAAGAGGCAAACAAAUUAAACAAAAUACUACAAUGAACAACUUAAAAAAAGCAAACAGGCCAGCUUUUGGUGUAUAAAUGGAAAUUAACCACAGUGAUGCUGACCUAUCACAACAAAUGUACAUUUGAUCAUUUUGUAAAGAAAAUAUAGAAUUGUUGAAUGUUUCAGGAAAUACUUCAUUCAAAAAUGAUUAUUUUUUACAAUGAUACUGAAGAAGGGUAAAUCUUGGGUGUUGUGAAACUUUCUCUAGGAUCUCCUUCCCUAUGCGUGACAAAUAAAUUAAUUUUUAUUAUGCAUUUUCUGUUUCAAACUGAAACUAAAUUUAGCUUGGUGGGCAAAAUCAAACUCCAAAACAAGCACCAGCAAUGGGAAAAAUUACUGUGGUGAUGGAGGAUUUAGUAAGAUGUUAGGUGUGAUAGUCUGAAAGGAAUGCAAGUUGAACAGGUGUGCUAAGGAUGGAAUUAACGACAAAGUCAGGCAGUUUCCAUGCAAACUGCCAACGUCUAUGCCAAUUAGAGUAGUACCAACACUGUCCAAGCAACUAAAUGUCUCCACAAGAGAAUAGAAAAUGACCCAGCCCAGAUUUCUAACCGCAAAAUUCACCACCACAGCUUUCAAUACUUACCCAGAAAUAGUGUUUCCAUCUUCUCUGUCUACUCUCAUAACAAUGGAUUUGCAGUUACAGCUCCUGAUUUCACUUUAUU